rnacentral:misc_RNA from 1 species
UACGGAGGUUGCAAGCGUUUAUCGGAAUUACGGGGCGUAAAGCGCACGCAGGCGGUCUGUCAAGUCGGAUGUGGAAUCACCGGGCUCAAUCUGGGAACUGCAUCCGAAACUGGCAGGCUAGAGACUUGUAGAGGGGGGUAGAAUUCCAGGUGUAGCGGUGAAAUGCGUAGAGAUCUGGAGGAAUACCGGUGGCGAAGGCGGCCCCCUGGACAAAGACUGACGCUCAGGUGCGAAAGCGUGGGGAGCGAACAGG